UGGCGGCCGGGGACAUGUGC
rnacentral:miRNA from 1 species